rnacentral:rRNA from 1 species
GUGAGGAAUUUUCCGCAAUGGGCGAAAGCCUGACGGAGCAAUGCCGCGUGAAGGAUGAAGGCCUAUGGGUUGUAAACUUCUUUUCUCAGAAAAGAAUUAUGACGGUAUCUGAGGAAUAAGCAUCGGCUAACUCUGUGCCAGCAGCCGCGGUAAGACAGAGGAUGCAAGCGUUAUCCGGAAUGAUUGGGCGUAAAGCGUCUGUAGGUUGUUUAAAAAGUAUUCUGUCAAAGAUUAGGGCUUAACCCUAGAUAGGCAGAAUAAACUUUUAAGCUAGAGUUUGGUAGAGGCAGAGGGAAUUCCCGGUGGAGCGGUGAAAUGCGUCGAUAUCGGGAGGAACACCAAAGGCGAAGGCACUCUGCUGGGCCAAUACUAACACUGAGAGACGAAAGCGAGGGGAGCAAAUGGGAUUAGAAACCCUGGUAGUCC